rnacentral:snoRNA from 1 species
AGGACUCUACUUGCAAGGAUCAUUGCUAUCGUUAGUUACUAGAGAAGUUUCUCUGACUGUGUAGAGCCCCGAGACUGUGAGGCUGAGACGCAGCCUUCUCUCCUGAGUGUGAAGCUGGCUGUAGGUGCUGCUUUCAUGCGGCUGCCUCUUGUGGUUGAUGAUCCUUCUCUCCCUUUGGAGAGAGAGUGAAAGGGAACACAGUCUGAAUGGA